CAAUCGUCGCCAACGGCUGCCCUACAUCGUACGGAAAUAAAAUAAAUCAAACUAAACCUUGCCGUGGGUUCGAACCCAUUUCAUCGUAAAUUUUAAAAUCUAUUGACGUGAUAUAAAAAUUUCCAAAAAAUUAAAAAAGCUAUUUACGUGAAGUUAAAAUAAAAUUCGUAUGUAGAGGAAAAUAAACGUAAAACCGUUUAUUUGCAAUCGAAAGAUAAAACCUAUUUACCUACAAACCAACAUAAAGGAUUAUUUGAAUUCAAAAUACAAAACAACUAUUUACGUGAAGCUAAAACUUCAGAGCUAUUCCUGUGAAAAGAGAAACAUUACAAACCAGCAUAUAGGAGAUUUCAUGAAGUCUAAGAAGCAAAAGGAAAACUUCAGGAACACCAUUUUUUUGGACCAAUAUUGAAGCUCACAGCUCGUUUCCAUUCGUGUUUCUGAAAACAAGAUCUGCACAAUCUUCCUGUUAUUCGUAAGCAUCGUUAAAUAGCAUGUAAUUGAAUUUUUAUCGGCUCUUGACACAUCUUAUUUUCUACACAUUCUAUUUCUAUAAAGUAAUAUAUAUAACUAAAACUUCACUUCGACGGAAGCUGUGCUGAUAAAAAUGUGACAAUUCCGAUCAAACCCCGUUUCACCUGUGACGAUUUAUUUGAAAAAUUUAAAACGUGGAGUUUUUUACAAGAUGGGAAAUAUUUACCGUACGCCCAUGAAAUAUGGGAAGCUGCUUCUCUUAACACUCAAAAACAAAUGUCCAAAUCAUACAUCUAUCAGUACAUUACUCAAAAUCGAGGAAUGAUAAAUAAUUUCUAAUAAAAUAA